rnacentral:rRNA from 1 species
GAUGAACGCUGGCGGCGUGCCUAAUACAUGCAAGUCGAGCGAACGGACGAGAAGCUUGCUUCUCUGAUGUUAGCGGCGGACGGGUGAGUAACACGUGGAUAACCUACCUAUAAGACUGGGAUAACUUCGGGAAACCGGAGCUAAUACCGGAUAAUAUUUUGAACCGCAUGGUUCAAAAGUGAAAGACGGUCUUGCUGUCACUUAUAUAUGGAUCCGCGCUGCAUUAGCUAGUUGGUAAGGUAACGGCUUACCAAGGCAACGAUGCAUAGCCGACCUGAGAGGGUGAUCGGCCACACUGGAACUGAGACACGGUCCAGACUCCUACGGGAGGCAGCAGUAGGGAAUCUUCCGCAAUGGGCGAAAGCCUGGCGGAGCAACGCCGCGUGAGUGAUGAAGGUCUUCGGAUCGUAAAACUCUGUUAUUAGGGAAGAACAUAUGUGUAAGUAACUGUGCACAUCUUGACGGUACCUAAUCAGAAAGCCACGGCUAACUACGUG